rnacentral:rRNA from 1 species
GACGAAGGUGGCAAGCGUUGUUCGGAAUCACUGGGCUUAAAGCGCACGUAGGCGGCUCAUCAAGUGUCUUGUGAAAUCCCCCGGCUCAACCGGGGACUGGCUUGGCAAACUGAUGGGCUUGAGGCAGGUAUGGGUAAGUGGAACUCUUGGUGGAGCGGUGAAAUGCGUAGAUAUCAAGAGGAACGCCGGUGGUGAAGACGACUUACUGGGCCUGUCCUGACGCUGAGGUGCGAAAGCCAGGGGAG